rnacentral:misc_RNA from 1 species
CAGUAGUAGCUGUGAAUGGGAGUCCAAGGAUCUAG